rnacentral:misc_RNA from 1 species
UCCGGUUUGGCACCGGCAGUCUCCCAUGAGUCCCCGGCAUGACCCGCUGGCAACAUGGGACAGGGGUUGCGCUCGUUGCGCCACUUAAGGCAACACCUCACGGCACGAGCUGACGACGGCCGUGCAGCACCUGCGCAGGCUCCCUUGCGGGUCCCUCCCGUUUCCGGUCGGUACCACCUGCAUGUCAAGCCCGGGUAAGGUUCUUCGCGUUGCAUCGAAUUAAACCACACGCUCCGCUGCUUGUGCGGGCCCCCGUCAAUUCCUUUGAGUUUUAGCCUUGCGGCCGUACUCCCCAGGCGGGGCACUUAAUGCGUUAGCUUCGGCACGGAGGGAGUCGACACCCCCCACACCUAGUGCCCAUCGUUUACGGCGUGGACUAC